UACGUAGGAGACGAGCGUUGUCCGGAAUUACUGGGCGUAAAGCGCGUGUAGGCGGAUGAGCAAGUCUGCUGUGAAAGCUCCUGGCUUAACCGGGAGUGGUCGGUGGAAACUGCUCGUCUGGAGGACGGUAGAGGUAGGUAGAAUUCCCGGUGUAGUGGUGAAUGCGUAGAGAUCGGGAGGAAUACCUGUGGCGAAGGCGGCCUACUGGGCCGGACCUGACGCUGAGACGCGAAGGCG
rnacentral:rRNA from 1 species